rnacentral:rRNA from 1 species
GACGAACGCUGGCGGCGUGCUUAACACAUGCAAGUCGAACGGAAAGGCCUCUUUCGGGGGGUACUCGAGUGGCGAACGGGUGAGUAACACGUGAGUAACCUGCCCUUGACUUUGGGAUAACUUCAGGAAACUGGGGCUAAUACCGGAUAGGAGCUCCUGCUGCAUGGUGGGGGUUGGAAAGUUUCGGCGGUUGGGGAUGGACUCGCGGCUUAUCAGCUUGUUGGUGGGGUAGUGGCUUACCAAGGCUUUGACGGGUAGCCGGCCUGGGAGGGUGACCGGCCACAUUGGGACUGGGCUACGGCCCAGACUCCUACGGGAGGCAGCAGUGGGGAAUAGUGCACAAUGGGUGGAAGCCUGAUGCAGCAACGCCGUGUGCGGGAUGACGGCCUUCGGGUUGUAAACCGCUUUCGCUCAUGACGAAGCUUUGUGUGACGGUAGUGGGUAAAGAAGCACCGGCUAACUACGUG